rnacentral:rRNA from 1 species
UUUUAUGAGAGUUUGAUCCUGGCUCAGGACGAACGCUGGCGGCGUGCCUAAUACAUGCAAGUCGUACGCUUCUUUUUCCACCGGAGCUUGCUCCACCGGAAAAAGAAGAGUGGCGAACGGGUGAGUAACACGUGGGUAACCUGCCCAUCAGAAGGGGAUAACACUUGGAAACAGGUGCUAAUACCGUAUAACAAUCGAAACCGCAUGGUUUUGAUUUGAAAGGCGCUU